rnacentral:rRNA from 1 species
GAGUUUGAUCCUGGCUCAGAGUGAACGCUGGCGGCGUGCUUAACACAUGCAAGUCGAACGAGAACGGGUUAUAGUUUACUAUAACUGUCAGCUAAGUGGCGCACGGGUGAGUAAUAUAUAGGUAACGUGCCCUAGAGAGGGGGAUAACAUUUGGAAACGAAUGCUAACACCCCAUAUGCCUUUAUCCCAUAAGGGAGCAAGGGAAAUAUUUAUAGCUCUAGGAUCGGCCUGUACGGUAUCAGUUUGUUGGUGAGGUAAUGGCUCACCAAGACUAUGACGCCUAACUGGUUUGAGAGGAUGAUCAGUCACACCGGAACUGAGACACGGUCCAGACUCCUACGGGAGGCAGCAGUGGGGAAUAUUGCACAAUGGACGAAAGUCUGAUGCAGCAACGCCGCGUGGAGGAUGACACAUUUCGGUGCGUAAACUCCUUUUAUAUAGGAAGAUAAUGACGGUACUAUAUGAAUAAGCACCGGCUAACUCCGUGCCAGCAGCCGCGGUAAUA